AGGGGGAACUCAGUGCUUACGUUUAUGACGUAGGCUUUUGUCGAUCGUAAAUAGAUCGGCGAAUAAGUGGUGGGUAAGACUGGUGCCAGCCGCCGCGGUAACCCCAGCGCCACGAGUGGUUAUCACGAUUAUUGGGCCUAAAGCGUUCGUAGCCGGUUUGGUAAAUCUCUUGUGAAAUUGUUCGGCUUAACCGGACAGCGUGCAGGAGACACUGCCAGACUCGAGACCGGGAGGCGUGUGAAGUAUGCCGUGGGGACUGGUAAAAUGGGAUAAUCCACGGUAGACUACCGAUGGCGAAGGCAUCACACGAGAACGGAUCUGACGGUGAGGAACGAAAGCUAGGGGAGCGAACCGGAUUAGAUACCCGAGUAGUCCUAGCCGUAAACGCUGCGAGCAAGGUGUCGCGUAUCUCACGAAGAUGCGCGGUGUCGAAAUGAAGAUGCUAAGCUCGCCGCCUGGGAAGUACGGUCGCAAGACUGAAACUUUAAGGAAUUGGCGGGGGCGCACUACAAGGGGUGCGGCGUGCGGUUUAAUCCAACUCAACGCGGAGAACCUUACUAGGGGCGACGGCAGGAUGAAGGUCGUGCUAAAGACACUACCAGACGAGCCGAGAGGUAGUGCAUGGCCGCCGUCAGCUCGUGCCGUAAGGUGUCCAGUUAAGUCUGGUAACGAGCAAGACCUGCAUCCACAAUUGCUAACGACCUCUGGGAUCGAGCACAUUGUGGAGACUGCCCGGGUAACCGGGAGGAAGGUGCAGGCUACGGUAGGUCUGUAUGCUCCGAAUCCCCUAGGCUACACGCGCGCAACAAUGGUACGGACAAUGGGACGCAACACCGAAAGGUGAAGCAAACCCUCAAAACCCUACCCUAGUUCAGAUCGAGGCUUGCAACCCAGCCUCGUGACGUCGGAAUCCCUAGUAAUCAGCUGUCAUCAUCCGCUGGUGAAUAUGUCCCUG
rnacentral:rRNA from 1 species